rnacentral:rRNA from 1 species
AACGCUGGCGGCGUGCCUAACACAUGCAAGUCGAACGGAGCACUUCGGUGCUUAGUGGCGAACGGGUGAGUAACGCGUGAAGAACCUGCCUUUCAGUGGGGGACAACAGUUGGAAACGACUGCUAAUACCGCAUAAUGUUAUUUGGGGGCACCCUCGGAUAACCAAAGAUUUAUUGCUGAAAGAUGGCUUCGCGUCUGAUUAGCUAGAUGGCGGGGUAACGGCCCACCAUGGCGACGAUCAGUAGCCGGUCUGAGAGGAUGAACGGCCACAUUGGGACUGAGAUACGGCCCAGACUCCUACGGGAGGCAGCAGUGGGGAAUAUUGGGCAAUGGGCGAAAGCCUGACCCAGCAACGCCGCGUGAAGGAAGAAGGCCUUCGGGUUGUAAACUUCUUUUAGCAGGGACGAAGAACGUGACGGUACCUGCAGAAAAAGCAACGGCUAACUACGUG